rnacentral:tRNA from 1 species
GAGGGUGUAGCUCAGUGGUAGAGCAUAUGCCUAGCAUGCACUAGGUCCUGGGUUCAAUCCCCAGUACCUCUU